rnacentral:rRNA from 1 species
AUUGAACGCUGGCGGCAGGCUUAACACAUGCAAGUCGAGCGGGGGGAGGUAGCUUGCUACCGGACCUAGCGGCGGACGGGUGAGUAAUGCUUAGGAAUCUGCCUAUUAGUGGGGGACAACAUCUCGAAAGGGAUGCUAAUACCGCAUACGUCCUACGAGAGAAAGCAGGGGAUCUUCGGACCUUGCGCUAAUAGAUGAGCCUAAGUCGGAUUAGCUAGUUGGUGGGGUAAAGGCCUACCAAGGCGACGAUCUGUAGCGGGUCUGAGAGGAUGAUCCGCCACACUGGGACUGAGACACGGCCCAGACUCCUACGGGAGGCAGCAGUGGGGAAUAUUGGACAAUGGGGGGAACCCUGAUCCAGCCAUGCCGCGUGUGUGAAGAAGGCCUUAUGGUUGUAAAGCACUUUAAGCGAGGAGGAGGCUACUCUAGUUAAUACCUAGGGAUAGUGGACGUUACUCGCAGAAUAAGCACCGGCUAACUCUGUGCCAGCAGCCGCAGUAA